AUGAAGCUUCUUGCUCAGCUCCUGGGGCUCCUCACGCUAUGGUUUCCAGGAUCCAAUGGCGAGGUUGUGAUGAUACAGACCCCACUGUCCCUGUCUGUCACCCCUGGAGAGCCGGCCUGCAUCUCCUGCAGGGCCAGUCAGAGUCUCCAGCACAUUAAUGGAAACACCUAUUUGUAUUGGUACCUGCAAAAGCCAGGCCAGUCUCCACAGCUUCUGAUCUACUUGGUUUCCAACCGUUUCACUGGGGUGUCAGACAGGUUCAGUGGCAGCGGGUCUGGCACAGAUUUUGCCCUGAGGAUCAGCAGGGUGGAGGCUGAGGAUGUUGGAGUUUAUUACUGCAUGCAAAGUACACAUGAUCCUCCCACAGCGGUUCAGCUCCCAACACAAACCUCUCUAGGUGUCAUGGCCCAGCUGCCCACGUGUUGUUUGUCUGGGGAGCAGGCACAGCAGAGUCUCUCAGUCAGUGUAAGAGGAAGAUGCUGGGGAGCUCGAGGGGAUGGUUGA